AGUCGAACGAGGCUUCGAGCCGAGUGGCGGACGAGUGAGUAACACGUACCUAAUCUACCUAUAAGUGGGGAACAACCGCCCGAAAGGGUGGCUAAUACCGCAUGUGCUCUACGGAGUAAAGCUUUUGCGCUUAUAGAUGAGGGUGCGUCCUAUCAGCUUGUUGGUGGGGUAAUGGCCUACCAAGGCAACGACGGGUAGCUGGUCUGAGAGGAUGAUCAGCCACACUGGGACUGAGACACGGCCCAGACUCC
rnacentral:rRNA from 1 species